UACAGAGGUCUCAAGCGUUGUUCGGAAUUACUGGGCGUAAAGCGUGCGCAGGCGGUUAUGUAAGACAGUUGUGAAAUCCCCGGGCUCAACCUGGGAACUGCAUCUGUGACUGCAUAGCUAGAGUACGGUAGAGGGGGAUGGAAUUCCGCGUGUAGCAGUGAAAUGCGUAGAUAUGCGGAGGAACACCGAUGGCGAAGGCAAUCCCCUGGACCUGUACUGACGCUCAUGCACGAAAGCGUGGGGAGCAAACAGG
rnacentral:rRNA from 1 species